UGAGGAAUAUUGGUCAAUGGACGCAAGUCUGAACCAGCCACGUCGCGUGAAGGAAGACGGCCCUACGGGUUGUAAACUUCUUUUGUAGGGGAAUAAAGUGUGGUACGUGUACUAUUUUGCAUGUACCUUACGAAUAAGGAUCGGCUAACUCCGUGCCAGCAGCCGCGGUA
rnacentral:rRNA from 1 species